rnacentral:RNase_P_RNA from 2 species
CAAGCUGGCCGGGCGGCCGCGGUAUUGUCUGGUGGCCCAGGCUCCUGGAGCACCAGACAGGCUGAGGAACGUCCGGGCUCCACAGAGCAGGGCGGUGGCUAACGGCCACCCGGGGUGACCCGCGGGACAGUGCCACAGAAAGAAGACCGCCGUCCGUGUACCGGGCGGUAAGGGUGAAAGGGUGGGGUAAGAGCCCACCAGCGUGGCGGGUGACCGCUGCGGCUAGGUAAACCCCGCCUGGAGCAAGACCGCACAGCUGACGUCUGAGGGCUGCUCGCCUGAGUCAGCGGGUAGGUCGCGUGAGGCCGUCGGCAACGGCGGUCCAAGAUGAAUGGUCGCCGCCACCCAGUCCGGUAACGGUGGGUGGUAACAGAACCCGGCGUACAGGCCAGCUUGUCCG